rnacentral:rRNA from 1 species
CCUACGGGUGGCAGCAGUGAGGAAUAUUGGUCAAUGGGCGUAAGCCUGAACCAGCCAAGCCGCGUGAGUGAUGAAGGCCCUAUGGAUCGUAAACCUCUUUUAUAAGGGAAUAAAGUGUGGGACGUAUCCUAUUUUGUAUGUACCUUAUGAAUAAGGAUCGGCGAACUCCGUUCCAGCCGCCGCGGUAAUACGGAGGAUCCGAGCGUUAUCCGGAUUUAUUGGGUUUAAAGGGUGCGUAGGCGGCGUUUUAAGUCAGCGGUGAAAGUCUGUGGCUCAACCAGAGAAUUGCAGUUGAAACUGGGGGGCUUGAGUAUGUUUGAGGCAGGCGGAAUGCGUGGUGUAGCGGUGAAAUGCUUAGAUAUCACGCAGAACCCCGAUUGCGAAGGCAGCCUG